ACGCUCUCUCCAAUUCGUCUCCUGUCCUCUUUCUCUCUCUCGCUACAGCACAGCAACAACUAGCACAAAAGUAUAGCAUGCGACGAAUGAACUCAAUCAAUCUGUCAAAGCACGACGGACGAGUUCCGGGUCAGCGUGCGCCGGCUUGGUCAGGGGCUCGCUCGGCCAGGCCGGCCAGGGGCCAAGGCCGCCGGCGUCCAGGGGCUGGCUCGUCGGGCGGCGUCUAGGGGCUGCCUUCAGGAGCGCGGCGCAAGCAGCGGCGGGGCCGGCGCUGGUUCGUCGGGCGGAUGGGUGACGAGCACACGACACCUUCGAAUACGUCUAUUGUUUAUAAGUGCAAAUAUUUCUCAAAGUACAAGUCCAUCAAAAUUACUAUGUCAUUGUCACGGACUUGUUAUUCAUAAUUGAGACCCUAGCCCAAGUUGGAGUACACCCCAUGAAGAUGGAGAACACCUCAAGAAAGUCUUUGGACGUCCUCCACCUUGGCCACCUCCUUAGGAGGCCAGCAAGGGCGUCCAACCCAAAGUGGAGGCCCAAUCGAAUUCGAGCUCGAUUCUGUUUCGGACUCCAGGAACAGCCCGCACUAAAAUGGACGCCACGGUCGCAUACGGGCUCAGAUUUUGGCGCACUUUAUAUGGUUGUAAAGAUAAUUCCAAGACGCUUUCAAUGGCACCAGUCUCAGGCUCAAAUUCGUUCUGAGUCGACGGGAAUCAUCUGAGAAAGCUGACGUCCAUAAUCUGUCCCGAUGCUGCGUCACUGUUUUUGGGCCCAUGGUCCGUGUAUCGUGUUGGAGCCCGAUAGGGACACGUCCAGGGGUCCCUCUACGACCCUAGGGUCUUCUUUAACAGCCGCCACCACAUUAUUAGGGUU